rnacentral:rRNA from 1 species
GACGAACGCUGGCGGCGUGCUUAACACAUGCAAGUCGAACGAUGAAGCCGGAGCUUGCUCUGGUGAAUUAGUGGCGAACGGGUGAGUAACACGUGAGUAACCUGCCCUUGACUCUGGGAUAACUGCUAGAAAUGGUAGCUAAUACCGGAUACGACCCUCGGAGGCAUCUCCAGGGGGUGGAAAGAAUUUCGGUCAAGGAUGGACUCGCGGCCUAUCAGCUAGUUGGUGAGGUAAUGGCCCACCAAGGCGACGACGGGUAGCCGGCCUGAGAGGGUGACCGGCCACACUGGGACUGAGACACGACCCAGACUCCUACGGGAGGCAGCAGUGGGGAAUAUUGCACAAUGGGCGCAAGCCUGAUGCAGCAACGCCGCGUGAGGGAUGACGGACUUCGGGUUGUAAACCUCUUUUAGUAGGGAAGAAGCGAAAGUGACGGUACCUGCAGAAAAAGCACCGGCUAACUACGUGCCAGCCGCCGCAGUAA